UACAGAGGGUGCGAGCGUUGUCCGGAAUCACUGGGCGUAAAGGGUGCGUAGGCGGGUCUUUAAGUCAGGGGUGAAAUCCUGGAGCUCAACUCCAGAACUGCCUUUGAUACUGAGGAUCUUGAGUAUGGGAGAGGUGAGUGGAACUGCGAGUGUAGAGGUGAAAUUCGUAGAUAUUCGCAAGAACACCAGUGGCGAAGGCGGCUCACUGGCCCAUUACUGACGCUGAGGCACGAAAGCGUGGGGAGCAAACAGG
rnacentral:rRNA from 1 species